GCACGAUUGGGUGUGGAUCCGUGUUCCCCGAGAGCAGAGCGCCCGUACGGGAUGCGGGCACUGCAGACGGUGGCUUUACCGUGGUCCUUCUAAACGAAUUAAUUCAGCAAGUACUCGUUUAGCCCCGACGCCAUGCCAAGCACUGGGCACAAAGCAGCGAGCAAAGCCGACCAGGAGCCCCGGUCUUGGGGAGCCGACCCUUGUGGUGGGGCAGACACGGGGUGGGGGGCGGCGAAGGUCAGGGAGCAGUCAGUGUGGGGCACAGAAGUGACGGAAGCUUGGGGACGACGCGCGGUGGGCGUGUGUGUACGUGUGUGUGUGUUUGCAUGCGUGCUCACACGUGCAUUCUUGUGCAUGUGUGUGCGUGUGUGGGUGUGUGUGCGUGUGUGGGUGUGUGUGUACGUGUGUGUGUGUUUCAAGCAGCACUUGAUUAGGGCAUUUUGCCAGUGUGCAGACAAGGAGACAGAAUCGUAUCUCCAACCCCACGUGCCCAUCGCCCUGUUACCAGAAGUCUUUGCUUUCUGCUCUUCUUGCUUCUUGUGGCUUCCUUAUUUUCAUUUUGUUUUCUGGAGAGUUUUUUUAAAAAAUAUUUACUUGUUUGAAAGGCAGAGUUACAGAGACAGAGAUAAAGAGAGAGAGGAGGUCUUCCAUCCACUGGUUCACUCCCCAAACGCCUGCAGCAGCCAAGACCGGGUCAGGCUGAAGCCAGGAGCCUGGAGCUGAGCCUGGGCCUCCCGCCUCUCUGCUAUGGAAUGGGAACACAGUGGAGGAUGGCCCAAGUGCUUGGGCCCCUGCACCCACGUGGGAGACCCGGAAGAAGCUCCUGGCCUCAGAUCAGCGCAGCUCUGGCCGAUGCAGCCAUUUGGGGAGUGAGCCAGUGGAUGGAAGCGCUCUCUCUCUCUCUCUCCCUCCCUCCCUCUCUGACUUUCAAAUCAAUAAAUAAGUCUUGAGGGAGAAAACCGUA